ensembl:lncRNA
CUCUUUUACAAUCUCUUCCAUGUUGGUAAGCACCAGGUCCAGCAACGCUUCACCUCUUGUUGGUCUGUCCAUUACCUAAACCAGAAAGAUAUUGUCAGUGGACUCCAAGAGUCUCCUGGGUCACUUGCAGAUCACAAUGUUGUUUUCUAGCAGAUAUCUGAGUGGUUGAAAUCUCCCAUCCAGAUGAGAACCCGUGAGCACAAUGCCUCUUGCAGCUGAAGCAAGAAGGCCUUGUCAACAGCUCCCCUUGAUCAGGCAGCUUGGAGUAGACCCUGACCACCAGAUGCCCUUUACUGGCCCUGUCCCUAAUCUUAACCCACAAGCUCUUAACCUGUUCCUGACUGUUUCUCAGGGGCAGCUCUCAGCAGAUUAUCCACUUCUUAACAAGAAGAGGGCCACUCCCCCACCUCUCCAAUUUGCCUAUCCCUUCUAAAAAGUUUACAGCCCUCAAUCAUGGUAUUCCUCUUGUGAGUCAUCCCACCGUGUUUCCAUGAUAGCAAUAAGAUUGUAGUUUUCCAAUUGCACCACAGUUUCCAAUUCCUCCUGCUUACUUCCCAUGAUGUGUGCAUUGGUACAGAGGCAUUUCAGCUGAAAGUGCCAAAGGUCACAUCUCUGUUUGCCUUGGACCCUUUAUAGAUACAGAUAUAAAACCAGAUAAAUAUGACUGUUUGGAGCUAAAUGCGUGUGCUGCAAGAGUGUGUUAUUAAUGAGAAAAAAGCCUGAAGGCACAGUGACUCCUAGCUCAUGGCCAGCAGACCAUUGCUGUUGUUCUGGGGAAGCAAAUGGGAAAAGCAGAGCCAGCCAAGGAGCAGACAGCCUACACAGGGAUGGAUUUUGCUCCUGGCCCUUUCUCAGGCAAGGCGAGAGCUUUUCCUGAGUGCAACCCACAAGACUGGAUCCACAGCUCCUCCGCCUGCAGCACUUCAAGACUUCCAGGUUGGAGACAAUGCGUCUGGAAAUUUGGGCUGUAGCCACCACAACUCCAUUCCUAUGGCCGUCUCCCAAAUGACUGAAGACCUCUGGCUUCUCUGGAUGCUCUUUCUCAGGUUCUGUUGUCCUGCGGUGUUUCUUCCAAAGUACCUGACAAACCCUGGAAAUGGCACUGGGUGCUUGAGUCCAGGUGAACAAUACAGAGUGAGGAAAGGAAUGCUCAUUGGCAUGACUUCCAGCCUCAGACUUGUAGUGAAGCCACAGUGCGGUGUUGGGAGCUGAGCACAUCCACCUUUGGUAUCUGCCCAGAAAAUGGUCUGGCUCCAUGGAUGUAUUCACUGGGAAUAGCUGUAUAAGCUGGAAUACAGUCAAAGAUACAUGGCAGAGAAACCUGCCCUGUGAAUAAAGCCUUUGUUAAGAGGCAUUCCAUCUGUACAUGAUUUCAUCAGCUCCAUGAAAUGUGCAGGACAUUUAUAUGGUGAAUUAGGCACAGCUCCUGUUUUGAGAGAGAAAAUGCUUCUGUGUGCUUUUCCACCGAAGUCUGUUGCUACACGAAGAGGGGAGGAAACCUUCUGCAAUGCUGUUACUGUUCUCAGCCACAGGACAGGGCAAGCAUUGGGACCGUGCUAACAUGGCUAUAAAAAUAACGUGCAUGUAAAAAGCAUCAAAUGCACAAAAAAAUUGGCAUCGCCCUCUUCUUUGCCUUCUCUCCCUUAAAUGUGGAGAUACUUAAAACAGUGUAAAUAACAUUCAAGACAGCUAAAGAGCAGUCCACAGUGCUGAAACACUCCUGCCGUCCAAAGCAGCUCCAUGCCAGCUAUUUCAUUUACCAUAUGUUUGGUGUGGUUUUGGCAGAGUCAACAUGAGGAUUUUUGGGCAGGCCUGCAAAACAGUUUUUCCCUUCCUCCACCCAAACGUGACCCAGUCCUGUCUGCCAUGAUCACGCCAUUGCACAGGGUCAGCCUGGCUGUUUUGGGCAGAAUUAGUCAGAGGGGCAUUUGGAAAGAUGCCCAAGGAGGGCUGAUUCAUUUUCCAUAUAAGUGGUUGCAUUAUGGAGCAGGAAGGAGAAGGAAGACGCAAUGUUUGGGAUGGAGAUGCUGGGUAAUGCUGAAGGACCACACAGGGAUUAUAGGAUUCCUUCUCCAGGUCCAAGGCAGGUGUGGUUGGGAUGCACUGGCUGUGGGGGCAAGCUGCCAGCCCCAUGGCACUGUUUUCAGCCAUCCUGCAGGAACUGCCAGAGGCUGUGAACCAGUGACUGGAAACGUGGAGCUUUGCUCCUGGGGUCGUCUGGUUUCAGAUGUGGAGAACACGGGCUCCAGGCAGCCCAGUCCAGCAGAGAACUGCCUGAGCUGUGAGCAGACUCUCCGGGGUGGGGCUUAAUUUUCCUUAAAAAUGAGUGGGACGCAGUGCCCAGACAUACAGUCCAGUUGGUGCCAUCCAGCUAGGGCCUGGGACUUGUCU